GCUUCCAAGACUUUUAAGUAGUUACUAGCUAUAGUCUUAUUAUUACUUAUGAAGGAAACAGAGCAGUUAUGCAAUUCUUCUAGUUUUUAGCUUAAGCCAACUCUAUAAAAACUAAGAGUCUUUUUCCAAUAUUUCUAAAAACAGAGCAUUUACUCAAAUGUUUUAGUUAACUUGUUGUCUAAUUUCACUUUGAUUUUAUAUUACACUUUUGAUUCAUGUUCACUGCCAUGUAUUAUUUCUCUAAGUUUUAAUUAAGAAAACAUUCAUUUAUUUUAUCUAAUUGUUUAGAAAAGAAAACGAAAUGAAAUAAAAUGAAAGAAAGAACCGAAAAUAUGGUAACAGAACCAUAUCCUUCUAAACAUUUAGAUUAUUAUUAUGAUAUGUGGAAAGUGUUUUGUUUAAUGAUCUGAAGCCAUAUACACGUAUGAGAAUAAGAAUUAGAUGUCAUGCAAUUUCUUAAUUAUGUUAGGUUCCUGUUCUUGCAUAAUUUCUUUUAAUACAUUAGUAUUGUUAGAAUUUAAUUAUAAUUCUAGUUAGUUAAGAAAUAGUUGUUUUGAUGAGUUAAUAGGUAUCCUAGAUGAAGGUGAUUGCUCGAGUUAUUUUGGAAAGCUUCAAGGUAAGGGGAAUUGCUAAUAAUAAGUUUCGAUGAGCACAAGAAAUGUGUUACUUGUAUAUAUAUUAUUAGUUAUAAUUA
rnacentral:lncRNA from 1 species